GUCGGAACGGUGUCAAUCGGGCUGGAAACAGGUUUCCCGAGCCGAAUAAGCCGCCGGAGUCGAGGAGCCGCCGCGAGCCGAUGAAGCCGCGCUGCAGACGUGACACGUGGCACAAUCAGAGAGCGACGCGUGUGCAGGCAUCUCGGGUCGAGGCGCGGGUUAACAGGUCGCUCGCGGGUCUCGGGCCAAACGCGGGUGACGGGCCGCGCGGUGAUGGGCCGACUCGCGGGUGACGGCCGCGGGGUGAAGGCCAGGUGUUUGGGCUGCGGGUAACGUGGGUUCUGGGCCGACCGAAGGGACGAGACUCGGUUUGGGUUUCCAGAUCUGGAUCUCGGGUCGGACUUCGUCCUCUUCGCCCGACUCCUGCGCGAUUUUCCGGCGAUUUCGUUGGUAAGGGCCUCGCACUCCGGGAUCUGGAGAAGUUCGAAAGUCCGCCGUUCCGUCUUCCUUGCUGACGAUGUUUAGCGUACGGGAUUCGUCUAAAACCUACUCCUGAUGUGUGAAAAGGGUUCUGGGAUUACUUUUGUGGUGUGAAAUGGGGGUUGUCGACGUCGAUUCGUACGCUUCGGCUUCGCCGGAGUUCCGUCGGUUUUCUGUUCUCUCUCCUUUUUCCUUCCCGUUCUCGUUUCUUUGCAGGUGUUUUCAGGGUGGCUGAAGGUCGAGGACGCCAUAUUUUUUGUCAUCCCAGCCCUCGGCCGCCCUUUGUGGGUCGUGUGCGAGCGAAAACUCCGGCGAACGCCGGAGUUUUCGGUUCUGCCGACGACCAUCAAUUUUUUUUUUUUUUUUUUGGUUCCGUUACAGUGUGCAAGUGAACUAAAACAUAAAAUUGAGCUUUCUUGAGUAGUU